AGAGUUUGAUCAUGGUUCAGAAUGAACGCUAGUUACAGGCUUAACACAUGCAAGUCGAGGGGAAACGACAUCGAAAGCUUGCUUUUGAUGGGCGUCGACCGGCGCACGGGUGAGUAACGCGUAUCCAACCCUGCCCACCACUUGGGGAUAACCCUUGCGAAAGUAAGACUAAUACCCGAUGAUAUCCCUAGAAGACAUCUGAAAGGGAUUAAAGAUUUAUCGGUGAUGGAUGGGGAUGCGUCUGAUUAGCUUGUUGGCGGGGUAACGGCCCACCAAGGCAACGAUCAGUAGGGGUUCUGAGAGGAAGGUCCCCCACAUUGGAACUGAGACACGGUCCAAACUCCUACGGGAGGCAGCAGUGAGGAAUAUUGGUCAAUGGGCGAGAGCCUGAACCAGCCAAGUAGCGUGCAGGACGACGGCCCUAUGGGUUGUAAACUGCUUUUAUAAGGGAAUAAAGUGAGUCUCGUGAGACUUUUUGCAUGUACCUUAUGAAUAAGGACCGGCUAAUUCCGUGCCAGCAGCCGCGGUAAUACGGAAGGUCCGGGCGUUAUCCGGAUUUAUUGGGUUUAAAGGGAGCGUAGGCCGGAGAUUAAGCGUGUUGUGAAAUGUAGACGCUCAACGUCUGCACUGCAGCGCGAACUGGUUUCCUUGAGUACGCACAAAGUGGGCGGAAUUCGUGGUGUAGCGGUGAAAUGCUUAGAUAUCACGAAGAACUCCGAUUGCGAAGGCAGCUCACUGGAGCGCAACUGACGCUGAAGCUCGAAAGUGCGGGUAUCGAACAGGAUUAGAUACCCUGGUAGUCCGCACGGUAAACGAUGGAUGCCC
rnacentral:rRNA from 1 species